rnacentral:lncRNA from 1 species
AGCCCUUGUAACAGAAUCCGCAGCUGUCCGUCAGGACCGGAGCCCGCCUCCAGAGUGACCUUCCUCAGCGGACACGCCCCGUCCACCUGUUCCACAGGUGCGCUCGGCAAGAUGGCGGCGGGACGAGCUGCUGCUGCUCGAGGACGCCGAAAUGAGUGCCCUGUCCGUUUGGGCGUGCUCUGGAAGUUUGAAAAGUUUGUAUAA